rnacentral:lncRNA from 10 species
ACUGAAUUUAAUAAAGGCUUGGUGCUACAAAAAGCCAUGUAAGGGGAUGAUGCUGGAGUUCUUUUGUUUCCCUCCUGAAUUUUCUUGUAUAGGUUUGUCUUUAGAUGCCAUGGUCCGGAAUCUGCACUCCCAGAUGAUAAUGAGUCAGUUCAUCUUAGACUGUGCUGCCUGUUGGUAACUAAGAGCUGGGGCUGGUCAGCUAAAGGGCUUGUUAGGGUACUGCUCAAAUGAAGCCAAAAUUAUGAGCUCUAACACAUGGGAUUGUUAGGUUCAGUGUCCGCCAGCCAUCCCCCAAAAUGCCUGGGUUUAGUCAUAAGGGGCAUCAGUUUAGAAGCAGUGAUGAAGCAUCCAUGCUGCGGUGCUUGGAGAUGAGCCUUAAAAUCCACACUUCCCCGGCGGUAGCUAAAGGACUUCAUUACAAAUCAGUAGUAGUUUUACAUAUAGAUUGUAAGAGGAGGGAAUAUCUGAACGCAUCCAGAGGCUUCACACAGAAGGGGAUAUCUGAACUGGCUUUGGUAAAAAGCAAAUUAACAUUUUUGUCUUAUGGAGAUUGAAGCAAAGCAUAAGCCCAAAGAACGAAGCAUAAAAUUCAAGAGCACAUUCAGGUUUGUCACAGUGGGUGGAGGAGUGGGGCGGGAGGAAGGAGAGGGAAGGCACACUUAGUUGAGGUGAGCUGUCAGGCGGGCUGGCUGUUCAGAGGUGGGUGCCCUGUGUGGGGAGGCUCUUUGAUUCCUGGGGAGGAAGGCUAGAGAACAGGCAGCUCUUUUCUCUCUGCUAGAAAAGAGGAGGCGGCUCCUCACAAGGUUCCUUCCCACAGCUGAGCACUGCCCACAGCUGCCCUUGCCCCUGCCUUUCCACGUUGCACAAGCCCAGCGCACGGUACCCACUGGAUAUGCCCGAGGCCUCCAGAGGAAAGGAAAGGAGGAAAAGGGACAGAAGAAAUGUUCACAGGAACUGCAUAUGGGCCUGCUACUUGUGUCAAAAUGUGACUGAACUCUCUUCCAGCAGGUGUGGGGAAAAGAGUGACUUCACCUUAAAUGUUAACCUGCCAUGUAACUUCUGACUAAUCCCAGGUCCAGAAAUGCCUCCAAAUGUCUCGUUGCUGUAUUACUCUUUAUGUGGAAACACCUGUUCACUUGUGAAUCCCUGGAAGGCAAGAUCGCCAUUCUGGUCUCUUGUGGAUAUCAAUGCUGAUCUCAGCUUCUGAUGCACGGCAGUCAAUUAAUAAAUGAUUGUUGCCUGAAAAACUGAGCCCCAAAACAAUAUUACAAGUUUAAUAUCAGUAAAGGAUUUAAUGCUUUCUAACAUGAAGAUACCAGAAGUUGCUGAUUUUUGUAUAACCCAGAGAUGGAUUUAAAUGCAGAGUGUAUGAACUUCUUCAUUCCUGAGGGAGGACUUAUGAUUUCAUGAGAAAUGCCCUAGGAAAGGGGCCGGGGAGACUGAUGGAGAAGAAGAGUUUGGGAGGGAAGCCCCAAGGACCAUCUGCCCCAUCAGAGUCACAUGCAGAGGGUCCUGCUCCUGCCGUUGGAAGUUGGCUUCCUGAGCUGCUGAACGUGCCAGUCCUGCUGACCCACUCUCAGAUAUCACAGGCACCCGCUGUGUCUGACAGAGACCUUUCUGCAAGUACACGUGCAGGUCUGCUCUGCAAAGGCGUUAUCAUCUGCAGAUUAUUGCACAGAGUGGCUACGAGCUGUGGUGUGAUCCUGUCACAGAGAGAGCCUGGUCACGUUUUCAGAACAGCAGGAAACAGGACAUUUUGAAACAUGUUUUCAGUGGUGAAAAGGACGUCUGCAAGAGGAACUGAAAGAGAAAUAAACAGUCACUGGAAACACACGCUGAAGGCGGGGAUUGGGGCACAUAUUAAUAAAAUAGCUUGAGUAAAAUUGGAUAAUGCACAAGAACAGCAAAACAGAACAAAACAAAACCCAACAACGAUGAGGAAUUCAUCAGUGAAGGGCUCGCGGAAUGUUCUGAGAAUAAUUCUUCCUUGCUAAUGCCCUCCAGUUUGCAUUAAGAUGCCCAGCAGUUCACCCUCCAGUCUGAGCCAGGCCAGCUACACAGGCUGAAAGUUUCUUAGGCCCUCGAUGACGAUCCUGGACAGGCACCCUGAACACAGCCUCCCCGGUACAUUCUUAGUGCACUCACAGAAUCUGCUGCUUCCCAGGUCUUUUGGAUGUGAAAUGAAACCCCAAGGACUGCUUUAACAAGGGGCAAAAACACAUGCAACCAAAGCCAGCAGUUAUGCCGAAGCAUCCCGGAUUCCCAUGAGAAACUCUCUGGAUCUAGUUCCUCUACGUCACAUGAGUGUGCAAACAGGAGACUACAAGAGUUUAAAAAUACUGGGACUGCUGGAGAUUUCCCUGGCCAUAUAUAGUUCACUUGUUUCACAGUAAGUUCAAAAGAGACAAAGGGAGAGGGAGGGAAAGAAAGAAGGCAACGGGCACUCAGCUUGAGUGAGUAGGGAACCUGAUUACAAUACUGUGCCACCUUCCUUCUCCCCCCAGCUCCGCCCCGGCACUCUCACCCCCAG